AUGUAAGUAGUUUAUCAAAAAUAAUGAUUUGUGGUGUCAUGGAAAUAAAAUUUUUAUCUUAAAUU
rnacentral:tRNA from 1 species